AGCUGACGCGGGAGGGUUUGAAGCUGCACCGCGAGGGACCGAGGCCGCAGUGACAGCAGCGGGUGUUCAGACGCCGGUUGUACCGCCGCGCCCGCCGGCGUUCGGCGCUCCCCGCCCCGGCAUGGCAGAGCCCGUAGGCCCGCGCGGCUCAGAGACUGAGCGCCUCCUGACACCCAAACCUGGGUAUGGGACCCGGGUGGGGCCUUCCCCAGCCCCUUCAACCCCUCCAGAAGAGGAGGAUCUCCGCCGUCGUCUCAAGUACUUCUUCAUGAGCCCCUGUGAUAAAUUUCGGGCCAAGGGCCGCAAGCCCUUCAAGCUCAUGCUGCAGGUGGUGAAGAUCCUGGUGGUCACCGUGCAGCUCAUCCUGUUUGGGCUCAGCAACCAGCUGGCGGUGACAUUCCGGGAGGAGAACACCAUCGCCUUCCGGCACCUCUUCCUGCUGGGCUACUCGGACGGGGCGGAUGACACCUUCGCGGCCUACACCCGGGAGCAGCUGUACCAGGCCAUCUUCCACGCCGUGGACCAGUACCUGAUGCUCCCCGAUGUGUCCCUGGGGCGGUAUGCUUACGUGCGGGGCGGGGGCGGGCCCUGGGCCAAUGGCUCGGCCCUGGCCCUCUGCCAGUGCUACUACCACCGGGGCCACGUGGACCCAGCCAAUGACACCUUUGACAUCGACCCGAUGGUCGUCACUGACUGUAUCCGGGUGGACCCUCCCGAGAGACCCCCUGUGCCCCCCAGUGAUGAGCUCUCCCUCUUGGAUGGCAGCACCAGUUACAAGAACCUCACGCUCAAAUUCCACAAGCUGAUCAACGUCACCAUCCACUUCCAGCUGAAGACCAUCAACCUCCAGAGCCUGAUCAACAAUGAAAUCCCAGACUGCUACACCUUCAGCAUCCUGGUCACAUUUGACAAUAAGGCACACAGUGGGCGUAUCCCCAUCAGCCUGGAGACCCAGGCCCACAUCCAGGAGUGUAAGCACCCCAGCGUCUUCGGCCAUGGAGACAACAGCUUCCGGCUCCUGUUUGAUGUGGUCGUGAUCCUCACUUGUGCCUUCUCCUUCCUGCUGUGCGCCCGCUCACUGCUCCGAGGCUUCCUGCUGCAGAACGAGUUUGUCAGGUUCAUGCGGCGGCAGCGGGGAAAGGUCAUCAGCCUGUGGGAGCGGCUGGAAUUUGUCAACGGCUGGUACAUCCUGCUGGUCACCAGCGACGUGCUCACCAUCUCAGGCACCAUCAUGAAGAUCGGCAUCGAAGCCAAGAACCUGGCAAGCUAUGACGUCUGCAGCAUCCUCCUGGGCACCUCGACGCUGCUCGUCUGGGUCGGUGUCAUCCGCUACCUGACCUUCUUCCACAAGUACAACGCCCUGCAGAUGACCCGCCAGGAGCCUCUUCCCCAUACCUGCCCACACCAGGCACACCUGUCACUCCACUUGGGCAGGGGUCACAUCCUCAUCGCCACGCUGCGGGUGGCCCUGCCCAGCGUCAUGCGCUUCUGCUGCUGUGUGGCCGUCAUCUACCUGGGCUAUUGCUUCUGCGGCUGGAUUGUGUUGGGGCCCUACCAUGUGAAGUUCCGCUCGCUGUCCAUGGUGUCCGAGUGCCUCUUCUCGCUCAUCAACGGCGAUGACAUGUUCGUGACGUUCGCGGCGAUGCAGGCGCAGCAGGGCCGCAGCAGCCUGGUCUGGCUGUUCUCCCAGCUCUACCUGUACUCCUUCAUCAGCCUGUUCAUCUACAUGGUGCUCAGCCUCUUCAUCGCGCUCAUCACCGGCGCCUACGACACCAUCAAGGAAGGUCUGGAUUGAUGAGACAGGAGCCCAAGAGAGAGAGCACCAGGGAGAAGGAACAGCCAAAGCAAAGACCUAGAGCCAGAAAGGACUUGGAGAGGAGAUAUUGGCCCCGUGAGGUUGGGAGAGAUGAAGACAAGGCUAAAAGCCAGAACAUUCACUGCUGCUGGGAAUGCAGAUGUUUGCACCCCGCCCGCCCCCCGCCCAAGUGGGUGGUUGUCAGGCACCCAGAUUGGGUCAGGCACGGCUCGAGGCGCUGGAGCCACAGCGGAGGGCACCAGCUGACCAAGAUUCAGGGUGUGCACACAUUCAGUGGUCAGGGAAUGUCUCCGGGUGAAGCAAACCACGAGGAACAGCAGGUGGAGGGCACAGCACGGUGCAGAGGCCCAGAGGUGGGAGCCUGGUUGGUCCACGAGGACCGCACCCGGGCGGAGCGGGCGCAGAGGAGAGCGAGCUCCAGGCCUACAUCGCGCAGUGCCAGGACAGCCCCACC